rnacentral:tRNA from 1 species
GCUUUUGUGGUGUAAUAAACACAUUAGAUUUUCGAUCUAAAGUUGAAACAAAAGUUUUCAAAAGUU